rnacentral:lncRNA from 1 species
CGUGGAGAUCCUUGGGCGUGAAGACCUUCUUCAUUUGCGCAUGGUGGCCCAUUUGGUGUCCAACACUUGGAUGCCAGAGUUCUGCAUUAGUGUGAGAGAAGUCCAUCUUGCAGGGAACUCCUCUUUCAGCAUCUCAAAUCCCAAGUAAUAAGAUACUAUAAAAAACAUGAACUCUUAUCUUAAGAAGGGAUAAGAAGGAGCGCCAUCUCA